rnacentral:rRNA from 1 species
GCACCUUCGGGUGUGAAUUAGCGGCGAACGGGUGAGGAACACGUGAGAAAUCUGCCUUCAACACUGGGAUAACUCCGGGAAACCGGGGCUAAUACCGGAUAUGAAAUCUGCGGGCAUCCGCGGAUUUGGAAAGUUUUUCGGUUGAAGAUGAUCUCGCGGCCUAUCAGCUUGUUGGUGAGGUAAUGGCUCACCAAGGCGACGACGGGUAGCCGGCCUGAGAGGGCGACCGGCCACACUGGGACUGAGACACGGCCCAGACUCCUACGGGAGGCAGCAGUGGGGAAUAUUGGGCAAUGGAGGAAACUCUGACCCAGCGACGCCGCGUGCGGGAUGAAGGCCUUCGGGUUGUAAACCGCUUUCAGCAGGGAAGAAGCGAAAGUGACGGUACCUGCAGAAGAAGCACCGGCUAACUAUGUGCCAGCAGCCGCGGUAAUACAUAGGGUGCAAGCGUUGUCCGGAAUUAUUGGGCGUAAAGAGCUCGUAGGUGGUUCGUCACGUCGGAUGUGAAACUCUGGGGCUUAACCCCAGACCUGCAUUCGAUACGGGCGAGCUUGAGUAUGGUAGGGGAGUCUGGAAUUCCUGGUGUAGCGGUGGAAUGCGCAGAUAUCAGGAGGAACACCAAUGGCGAAGGCAGGACUCUGGGCCAUUACUGACACUGAGGAGCGAAAGCG